rnacentral:rRNA from 1 species
UACGUAGGGGGCAAGCGUUGUCCGGAUUUAUUGGGCGUAAAGAGCGUGUAGGCGGUUUGGUAGGUCCGCUGUGAAAACUCGAGGCUCAACCUCGAGACGCCGGUGGAAACCAUCAGACUAGAGUCCGGAAGAGGAGAGUGGAAUUCCUGGUGUAGCGGUGAAAUGCGCAGAUAUCAGGAGGAACACCGGUGGCGAAGGCGGUUCUCUGGGCCUGUACUGACGCUGAGGAGCGAAAGCGUGGGGAGCGAACCGG